GAGAUUGGAUGCAGCAGGAAGGGCUGCUGCAGUACUUCAGGAAAGGGAGGCAGCAGGUCAUGGACUGCUGGAACAAUUCUUUGGCUUCCAGUCAGAUCCUGCCAACAUUUCUGUGUCUUUUGCAGGAGAUGGAUUAGUCUUCAGGCUGGCUGGCUCUAACCCAAACAUUGCAGGCCAAGUGCCCCUGCUAUGCAUCAUCUGCAGAGAUGUUCAGAAGUUGCAGCAAGACCAGAUGAAAAAUUGAAGAAUGAAAGGGAUGCCCAGAGAAAAACUGCCUUCUUCCCAUAAAGACCCUGAAGUUACACCCUGCUCGUGCUGAUGGACCUACAGCAGAUUGGAGCUCUGGAGUGAAGUCAAU